GGGUUUGUGGCUCAGUGGUAGAGCGCUUGCCUUACAAGUGUGAGACCCUGGGUUCUAUCCUUAGCACCA
rfam:Ictidomys tridecemlineatus contig024049, whole genome shotgun sequence.